rnacentral:rRNA from 1 species
GACGAACGCUGGCGGCGUGCUUAACACAUGCAAGUCGAACGGAAAGGCCCUGCUUUUGUGGGGUGCUCGAGUGGCGAACGGGUGAGUAACACGUGAGUAACCUGCCCUUGACUUUGGGAUAACUUCAGGAAACUGGGGCUAAUACCGGAUAGGAGCUCCUGCUGCAUGGUGGGGGUUGGAAAGUUUCGGCGGUUGGGGAUGGACUCGCGGCUUAUCAGCUUGUUGGUGGGGUAGUGGUUUACCAAGGCUUUGACGGGUAGCCGGCCUGAGAGGGUGACCGGCCACAUUGGGACUGAGAUACGGCCCAGUCUCCUACGGUAGGCAGCAGUGGGGGAUAUUGCACAGUGGGCGGAAGCCUGAUGCAGCAACGCCGCGUGCGGGAUGACGGCCUUCGGGUUGUAAACCGCUUUCGCCUGUGACGAAGCGUGAGUGACGGUAAUGGGUAAAGAAGCACCGGCUAACUACGUG